rnacentral:rRNA from 1 species
AGUCGAGCGCACUCUUUUAGAGUGAGCGGCAAACGGGUGAGUAACGCGUGGGAAUCUACCCAUUUCUACGGAAUAACACAGAGAAAUUUGUGCUAAUACCGUAUACGUCCUAUUAGGAGAAAGAUUUAUCGGAGAUGGAUGAGCCCGCGUUGGAUUAGCUAGUUGGUGAGGUAAGAGCUCACCAAGGCGACGAUCCAUAGCUGGUCUGAGAGGAUGAUCAGCCACACUGGGACUGAGACACGGCCCAGACUCCUACGGGAGGCAGCAGUGGGGAAUAUUGGACAAUGGGGGCAACCCUGAUCCAGCCAUGCCGCGUGAGUGAUGAAGGCCCUAGGGUU